AGAGGCUACCCAUAGAUAAGCAUAUCUUCAAAGCAUUAUCUAACCUACUCGACCUAAAACCGUUUGACACUGAUACGAAUUCUAUCAUCAAAACAGCAAUAUACAUCGCUUUCUAUGGAUUUCUACGACCCAGAGAAUUCACUACGACCUCCACGACCCAAACCACUCCAUUCCUCCUCUAUUCCCACUUGACAAAACAUAUGGAUCAUUACAUCCUGUCUCUACC